rnacentral:rRNA from 1 species
AGAGUUUGAUCCUGGCUCAGGACAAACGCUGGCGGCGUGCCUCAAGCAUGCAAGUCGAGCGACGCUCCACCUUCGGGUGGAUGACGGAGCGGCGGACGGGUGAGUAACACGUAAGUGAUCUGCCCAAAAGCGGGGGACAACUUCCCGAAAGGGAAGCUAAUACCGCAUGUGUCCAUGGAUUCGUUUCCAUGGGUAAACCUUUAGGGCUUUCGGAGGAGCUUGCGGCCGAUUAGCUAGUUGGUGGGGUAACGGCCUACCAAGGCUGCAAUCGGUAGCUGGUCUGAGAGGAUGAUCAGCCACACGGGGACUGAGAUACGGCCCCGACUCCUACGGGAGGCAGCAGCUAGGGAUCUCGCACAAUGGGCGAAAGCCUGAUGCAGCGACGCCGCGUGGGGGAUGAAGGCUCUAGGGUCGUAAACCCCUUUUGCCAGGGAAGAAGAUCUGACGGUACCUGGCGAAUAAGCCACGGCUAACUACGUGCCAGCAGCCGCGGUAAUACGUAGGUGGCAAGCGUUGUCCGGAUUUACUGGGCGUAAAGCGCGUGUAGGUGGUUUGGAAAGUCCGGGGUGAAAUCUUGCGGCUCAACUGCAAGAGGUCCUUGGAUACUUCCAGACUUGAGGGAGGCAGAGGAAGGUGGAAUUCCCGGUGUAGCGGUGAAAUGCGUAGA